rnacentral:rRNA from 1 species
GCCUAACACAUGCAAGUCGAGAGGGGUAAGCCCUCGGCAAACGGGUGCGUAACACGUAGGAAUCUGCCCUCAUCUCAGGGAUAGCUCAUCGAAAGAUGGGGUAAUACCUGAUAGUCUCUCACGAGUAAAGAUUUAUCGGAUGAGGAGGAUCCUGCGGCCUAUCAGCUAGUUGGUGGGGUAAAUGCCUACCAAGGCUACGACGGGUAGCUGGUCUAAGAGGAUGAUCAGCCACAGGGGAACUGAGACACGGUCCCCACUCC